rfam:Rhizobacter sp. Root404 contig_8, whole genome shotgun sequence.
GACAAGCGGUAAACCGCUCGUCAUGUGCACACCCCAGUACCUGAUACGGCUGGGGUCG